rnacentral:rRNA from 1 species
AUUGAACGCUGGCGGCAGGCCUAACACAUGCAAGUCGAACGGUAGCACAGAGAGCUUGCUCUCGGGUGACGAGUGGCGGACGGGUGAGUAAUGUCUGGGAAACUGCCCGAUGGAGGGGGAUAACUACUGGAAACGGUAGCUAAUACCGCAUAACGUCGCAAGACCAAAGUGGGGGACCUUCGGGCCUCACACCAUCGGAUGUGCCCAGAUGGGAUUAGCUAGUAGGUGGGGUAAUGGCUCACCUAGGCGACGAUCCCUAGCUGGUCUGAGAGGAUGACCAGCCACACUGGAAAUGAGACACGGUCCAGACUCCUACGGGAGGCAGCAGUGGGGAAUAUUGCACAAUGGGCGCAAGCCUGAUGCAGCCAUGCCGCGUGUAUGAAGAAGGCCUUCGGGUUGUAAAGUACUUUCAGCGGGGAGGAAGGCGGUGAAGUUAAUAGCUUCACCGAUUGACGUUACCCGCAGAAGAAGCACCGGCUAACUCCGUGCAGCAGCCGCGGUAA